AUGGUGGGGAUCUGUGACUCGGGGUCCCUUAUGACACUUCUUUCCCUGUCUGGAGAUGCUGGCAUCCCGGAGGGCAUGCAGCUGUCUCUCCUUGGAGAACAGGAAACAGCGAGGAGCUCACCAUGCGUCUGUUCAACUCCAGUGUUAUGUGUGAAAGAAAUGAUAUACAAAGAAGCUUCAACAUAUGUUUGGAAAAAUGGAAUUAAAAGAGGGAAGAGAGCAAAACCCCAAUGGUCUUCCCAUUCAGACUGGGACAGCACCGUCAUUACCGACAGCAAGAAGAGGCUCUGUUUCAUGUGGGAAAGGAGGAACAACUGAAAGAAAGACUUCUAUGCCUCUACUGGAAUAAGCACAGAACAUUCCAGUAGCCUUAAAUUACUUUUCAACAUCACAACACAGUCACACAGUCACAUAGCUCAAGGGAAUUACUCUGGAGUACAUAGAAAUGGUGGACAAAAACUGUCAUUGAGAAGUCUUUUUUAAAAGGUUUUUUCAAUAGUGCAAUUGUAUAAGUUUGUGCCAAUCUAUCAUCAAGUUGGAUUUCACUUCAAAAUAGCACUGAAAGUCUAGUUACUCUCUGAGUCUGAUUCUAUUCAAGUGGGACCUUGUGUGACUAUGUGUGUGAUGGGAAAGCUUUGAUUGAAGACUUAGUGCCGGCAUUGACACUUUCUAUCCCCAAGCUAUAACCAAGAUCCAAAGUUUUGAUCAGGAGCUUUGUCACUUUCAUGCUCAAGGUGGAUGUAGAAAGAGAUGCUAGAAUUCAAAGACUUCACUCACUUUGUUCCCUGAAGGAGUUGAUAACUAUUUCCAGCCUCAAAAGAACCCUGAGUGAGGUUGAGUACAGAGCAGAGUUUACAUUUUCUUUGGAGACUUGAACAUUAUGAAAGAAAUUCUCAUGAUCUUUUCCAUGCUUUGGUUGUGUGUGUGUGUGUGUUGCAAAUUUAUUUGCCAAGAACCCUAACGGUAGAUUACAGUCCACUAGUUGAUCUAAAAUAUAAAUACUCUGCACUCUGACAGUUAAUUGGGAUUUUACAAAAAGGGACUGCAUCAUAUUUCUUCUUUGUUGAAGUCGGGAGAAUUAAGAUAGAGGCAGUUACAAAUGGCUGAAUUUGUCAUGACUCGUCCAUAUUCCAAAGGCUGUGGUUGAUGGCAUUUAACUAAAAACUAAUUUUCCCAUUCAAGGCAAGUAGCUACUAAUUACUGAAUUUUUCUAUGACCACAAAAUGUUACUACAUGCUUUAUAUAUGCAAAUUCACUGGUUUUCACAACAACAACAUAAAUUAGAUAUUAUUUUCCCCUUUUACAGAUCAAGAAAUUCAGUUUUAAGAGGAUAAAUACCUUGCUUGCAUUUAUAAGCUAGAAGAAGGGCCUACUUAAAAAUGCUAACUUUAAUGCUAUGUUAGUUAUUUUGUUAACAAUACUUUCAAAAAGUGGAAGUUUUGUAACAUCCAGAGAUAAAAGGUGGAAUACCACAGCUAAAAAUGUCAUCCAGCUUACAGAGAAAAAACCAUCCAGCAGAUUUUCAGUUAACCAAUGUUACUAUCAAGGUGAUUGGGUAUAUGGCUAGAUUUAUUUUUGUUAAAUAAAUUAACCCAUUUAUUAUAGAUAACUGAUGUC
ensembl:lncRNA